GACGAACGCUGGCGGCGUGCCUAAUACAUGCAAGUCGAGCGGACGGAUGGGAGCUUGCUCCCAGACCGUCAGCGGCGGACGGGUGAGUAACACGUGGGCAACCUGCCUGUAAGACUGGGAUAACUCCGGGAAACCGGGGCUAAUACCGGAUAACUCUUUCCCUCACAUGAGGGAAAGCUGAAAGAUGGCAUCUCGCUAUCACUUACAGAUGGGCCCGCGGCGCAUUAGCUAGUUGGUGAGGUAACGGCUCACCAAGGCGACGAUGCGUAGCCGACCUGAGAGGGUGAUCGGCCACACUGGGACUGAGACACGGCCCAGACUCCUACGGGAGGCAGCAGUAGGGAAUCUUCCGCAAUGGACGAAAGUCUGACGGAGCAACGCCGCGUGAGUGAUGAAGGUUUUCGGAUCGUAAAACUCUGUUGUCAGGGAAGAACAGGUACCGGAGUAACUGCCGGUACCUUGACGGUACCUGACCAGAAAGCCACGGCUAACUACGUG
rnacentral:rRNA from 1 species